rnacentral:rRNA from 1 species
UACGAAGGGUGCAAGCGUUACUCGGAAUUAUUGGGCGUAAAGAGCUUGUAGGCGGUCUGUCGCGUCUGCUGUGAAAAUCCGGGGCUCAACCCCGGACUUGCAGUGGGUACGGGCAGACUAGAGUGUGGUAGGGGAGACUGGAAUUCCUGGUGUAGCGGUGGAAUGCGCAGAUAUCAGGAGGAACACCGAUGGCGAAGGCAGGUCUCUGGGCCGAUACUGACGCUGAGGAGCGAAAGCGUGGGGAGCGAACAGG